rnacentral:rRNA from 1 species
ACGUAAAGUCUGAUGGAGCAACGCCGCGUGAGCGAAGAAGGCCUUCGGGUCGUAAAGCUCUGUUGUUAGGGAAGAACAAGUAUCGGAGUAACUGCCGGUACCUUGACGGUACCUAACCAGAAAGCCACGGCUAACUACGUGCCAGCAGCCGCGGUAAUACGUAGGUGGCAAGCGUUGUCCGGAAUUAUUGGGCGUAAAGCGCGCGCAGGCGGUCCUUUAAGUCUGAUGUGAAAGCCCACGGCUCAACCGUGGAGGGUCAUUGGAAACUGGGGGACUUGAGUGCAGAAGAGGAAAGCGGAAUUCCACGUGUAGCGGUGAAAUGCGUAGAGAUGUGGAGGAACACCAGUGGCGAAGGCGGCUUUCUGGUCUGUAACUGACGCUGAGGCGCGAAAGCGUGGGGAGCAAACAGGAUUAGAUACCCUGGUAGUCCACGCCGUAAACGAUGAGUGCUAAGUGUUAGGGGGUUUCCGCCCCUUAGUGCUGCAGCUAACGCAUUAAGCACUCCGCCUGGGGAGUACGG